rnacentral:rRNA from 1 species
GACGUAGGGAGCGAGCGUUGUCCGGAUUCAUUGGGCGUAAAGAGCGCGCAGGCGGUUUGGUAAGUCGGAUGUGAAAACCCGGAGCUCAACUCCGGGCGUGCAUCCGAUACUGCCCGGCUAGAGGUAGGUAGGGGAGAUCGGAAUUCCUGGUGUAGCGGUGGAAUGCGCAGAUAUCAGGAGGAACACCGGUGGCGAAGGCGGAUCUCUGGGCCUUACCUGACGCUCAGGCGCGAAAGCUAGGGGAGCGAACAGG